rnacentral:rRNA from 1 species
GAUGAACGCUGGCGGCGUGCCUAAUACAUGCAAGUCGAGCGAACGGACGAGAAGCUUGCUUCUCUGAUGUUAGCGGCGGACGGGUGAGUAGCACGUGGAUAACCUACCUAUAAGACUGGGAUAACUUCGGGAAACCGGAGCUAAUACCGGAUAAUAUUUUGAACCGCAUGGUUCAAAAGUGAAAGACGGUCUUGCUGUCACUUAUAGAUGGAUCCGCGCUGCAUUAGCUAGUUGGUAAGGUAACGGCUUACCAAGGCAACGAUGCAUAGCCGACCUGAGAGGGUGAUCGGCCACACUGGAACUGAGACACGGUCCAGACUCCUACGGGAGGCAGCAGUAGGGAAUCUUCCGCAAUGGGCGAAAGCCUGACGGAGCAACGCCGCGUGAGUGAUGAAGGUCUUCGGAUCGUAAAACUCUGUUAUUAGGGAAGAACAUAUGUGUAAGUAACUGUGCACAUCUUGACGGUACCUAAUCAGAAAGCCACGGCUAACUACGUG